rnacentral:rRNA from 1 species
ACUCAAAGGAAUAGACGGGGACCCGCACAAGCGGUGGAUGAUGUGGAUUAAUUCGAUGCAACGCGAAAAACCUUACCUACCCUUGACAUGUACGGAACCUUUAAGAGAUUAGAGGGUGCUCGCAAGAGAGCCGUAACACAGGUGCUGCAUGGCUGUCGUCAGCUCGUGUCGUGAGAUGUUGGGUUAAGUCCCGCAACGAGCGCAACCCUUGUCAUUAGUUGCUACGAAAGGGCACUCUAAUGAGACUGCCGGUGACAAACCGGAGGAAGGUGGGGAUGACGUCAAGUCCUCAUGGCCCUUAUGGGUAGGGCUUCACACGUCAUACAAUGGUACAUACAGAGGGCCGCCAACCCGCGAGGGGGAGCUAAUCCCAGAAAGUGUAUCGUAGUCCGGAUUGGAGUCUGCAACUCGACUCCAUGAAGUUGGAAUCGCUAGUAAUCGCGGAUCAGCAUGUCGCGGUGAAUACGUUCCCGGGUCUUGUACACACCGCCCGU